GCUCGUAGUUGGAUGUCUGGUUUGGGGUAGCCGGUCCGCCUUGCGAAAGGUGCGCACUGUGCGGCCUCGACCAUUUUCGGACAGAGCGGUCCUGGCAUUCAGUUGUCGGGGCCGGGAUGUCCGACGUUUACUGUGAAAAAAUCAGAGUGUUCAACGCAGGCUUACGCCUUGAAUACAUUAGCAUGGAAUAAUGAGAUAGGACCUCGGCGGUCUAUUUUGUUGGUUUGCACGCCGAGGUAAUGAUUAACAGGGACGGUUGGGGUUCUUCGUAUUCAAUUGUCAGAGGUGAAAUUCUUGGAUUUAUGGAAGACGAACUGCUGCGAAAGCGUCGAACAAGGACGUUCUCAUUAAUCAAGAACGAAAGUUAGGGGAUCGAAGAUGAUUAGAUACCAUCGUAGUCUUAACCAUAAACUAUGCCGAUUCAGGAUUGGCGGUCGUUUGUUCUCGACUCCGUCAGCACUGUAUGAGAAAUCAAAAUCUUUGGGUUCCGGGGGGAGUAUGGUCGCAAGGCUGAAACUUAAAGAAAUUGACGGAAGGGCACCACCAGGAGUGGAGCUUGCGGCUUAAUUUGACUCAACACGGGGAAACUUACCAGGUCCAGACAAAGUAAGGAUUGACAGAUUGAGAGCU
rnacentral:rRNA from 1 species